UGGGAAGGGAACUUGGUUAGAACGUGUCUACAUAAAGAGACAACGAUCCUUUGAGGAAAGGCUUUGCCACUAGGAUCUAAUCAAGAAGAUGAGCAGAAUUUUAAUCUAGUGCUCUCCUGUGCCUUCGCUUCCUGCUGCUCAUUCAGAUGAGUGUCUGCAAUUUCCUGACCUACCAAUUACUUCUUUAAUGAGCAGGUUGGAAAAGCACCCCGUGUCACAUCCAUGGCUAAUACCCUCACUUAUGGGACCUUGACCUCGGCCAGCCAGCUUCCUCACGGUAUGCUGUGUGAUUAAUAGUUCCACACCAGUCUAAUUGCAGUCUGCGUGUUCAUCCCACCAGGGCAUUCC
rnacentral:lncRNA from 1 species